GCUUAAAACAGCUCUUGCAAAUUUUUAGAUAAGCUGAUGUGAUAUAGUGAUGCUUCACCUUCAGGUUAGCUAAAAAUCGAUGUCCCACUAGCACAAUUUUGAGUAGGCCAUCUGCAGAUUGAUGAGUUCAAUGUUAUUUGGUGCUACUACAUAUCAGAGGUCGGCCUUCGGAUGAGGUCGGCCUUAUAAUGAGCUUGACCUUCUGAUGAG
rnacentral:lncRNA from 1 species